CAGUAGCCGCGGUAAUACGUAGGGUGCGAGCGUUAAUCGGAAUUACUGGGCGUAAAGCGUGCGCAGGCGGUUCGUUAAGACAGAUGUGAAAUCCCCGGGCUUAACCUGGGAACUGCAUUUGUGACUGGCGAGCUAGAGUAUGGCAGAGGGGGGUAGAAUUCCACGUGUAGCAGUGAAAUGCGUAGAGAUGUGGAGGAAUACCGAUGGCGAAGGCAGCCCCCUGGGCCAAUACUGACGCUCAUGCACGAAAGCGUGGGGAGCAAACAGGAUUAGAUACCCCUGUAGUCCCUGUCUCUUAUAC
rnacentral:rRNA from 1 species